rnacentral:rRNA from 1 species
GACGGGGGGAGCAAGCGUUGUUCGGAUUUACUGGGCGUAAAGGGCGCGUAGGCGGUCAGCACAAGUCAGUUGUGAAAUCUCCGGGCUUAACUCGGAAAGGUCAACUGAUACUGUGCGACUAGAGUGCAGAAGGGGCAACUGGAAUUCUCGGUGUAGCGGUGAAAUGCGUAGAUAUCUGGAGGAACACCGGUGGCGAAGGCGGCAUCCUGGACCGGCAUUGACGCUGAACAGCGAAAGCCAGGGGAGCAAACGGGG